rnacentral:rRNA from 1 species
CGAAAGCCUGACGGAGCAAUACCGCGUGAGGGAGGAAGGCUCUUGGGUUGUAAACCUCUUUUCUCAAGGAAGAACACAAUGACGGUACUUGAGGAAUCAGCAUCGGCUAACUCCGUGCCAGCAGCCGCGGUAAGACGGAGGAUGCAAGCGUUAUCCGGAAUUAUUGGGCGUAAAGCGUCCGUAGGUGGUUACAAAAGUCUGUUGUUAAAGCCCACAGCUCAACUGUGGAUCGGCAAUGGAAACUAUGUGACUUGAGUGUGGUAGGGGUAGAGGGAAUUCCUAGUGUAGCGGUGAAAUGCGUAGAUAUUAGGAAGAACACCAGUGGCGAAGGCGCUCUACUGGGCCAUAACUGACACUGAUGGACGAAAGCUAGGGGAGCG